UGGAUUUGGUGGAGGUGCUGGUGGUUGGAGUAGCGGUGGUGCUGGUGGUGGUGGUGGUUUGGGAAGUGGUAAUUUUGGUGGUGGUUUUGGUGGCAGUGCUGGGGGUGGUUUUGGUGCCGGUGCCGGUGGUUUGGGAAGCAGUGGCGGAGGUAGUGGUGGAUGAGGCAGCAGUCAUAGUGGUGGUGUGGGUGGUGUGUAACAUUUGAACCGUCACUGGUUGAGAUAAAUUUUGAUGGUGUUGCAUUGUCGAUUUACAUGCUUUGAAGUAAGAAAAAAGAAGUGCUGAUUUCAUAGGUUGCUGGUUGCAACAAGCUUUCGUGGGGAUUUUUCUCUGCAAGAAAAAAUAAAAAGGAUAAUGAAAUAAUGUAUAAAAUCACUCUUUCGAGGCCUGAAGGAGUAGGAGUCUUUGUUCAAUUAACGUGAUACUUCAUCUAUGAACUUUGGAAAUAAAUAGGAGGAGACCAUCAAUUUUAAUCA